rnacentral:lncRNA from 1 species
UCCUUGCCUUCCCAAUCCUGCUUCUGAACAGGCUACACUGGAGGCCACGGAGUAUAUUACUUAUGCUGUAUGUUGAACAUGAUUGAGGGGACUUGACAUAUUAAUUCUGUGCUUCUCCCUGGGUCUGAAAUCGCACCGCCUGGAGUCCAGUCCUGCAUCUGCCUCUGCUAGGUGUGAUGUAUAUGUGGGAUUUGUUUUUAGAAAUGGAAACGAGAAACUGUCCUCUCUCUGAUCAAUGAUAUAAAGGUCUCAAUCUGUUGGCCAGCUGGAGUGCAGUGGUGCAAUCAUGGCUCACUGUAGCCUUGAGCUCCUGGGAUCAAGUGAUCCUCCCACUUCAGCCUCCUGA